rnacentral:rRNA from 1 species
AUCACUUGGGUAGUGCUGACUAAGCAAUUUCUUUUAGAGUUAGGAGUAAUUGAGUUCAUCUUAGUAAGAAGUAUCAUAGGGGCGAAGUUUAGUGAUAUAACGGCCAAUGGUAGACAUAGUUGAUUAGUACCGUAGGGGAAGGGUUAGGCCAAAUUGAGAGUAAGAUUUUAAUUCUGUACCUUUUGUAUCAGGGUUUAUCAAGUUAAAGGAGGGUAAGAUUGUAUUCCCGAAAUACUAAGAUCUACCCUCUCAGUCAGGUACAAGUAGUAAAUUGUAGCGUAAUGGGAGAGGUAGGGGUGAAAUGUUAGUCGGUUAGUAUAUAUCUGGUUUUUUAAGAGAGAAGUUUAAUUUUCACUCAGAGGUAGUAGUUGGCUUUGGGGCGAAGACUAGGGGGCAUGAGCUUUUUAGUUAGAUUUUAGUUAUUAGGUUAGUUGUAUUCGAUUAUUGGAGCAGGGCUUGAGAUCAGCCAAGUUAGGAGGAUGUUAUAAUUCACGGUGGUCAUUUUGUAUUCUUACCGUACCUAUAGGGGGUAUUAAAAAGGUCCCUUGAUUUAUGGUGGGGCGUUUAUAAUGAUAAGAUGAGUAGUUAAUGUUGUAUCGUAGGAAUGAAGUGAUUUAACUAGUGGGUUAACUUUAUAAAAAUGGAGAGUUGACCAAGGAAUUCAGCAAAUUUUCUUUUGCCUGUUUAUCAAAAACAUGUCCUCAUGAAGUAUUUGAGGUCUGGCCUGCCCACUGAAUGGUUUUAAAGGGCCGCGGUAUAUUAACCGUGCGAAGGUAGCAUAGUCAAUAGUCCCUUAAUUGGGGGCUUGAAUGAACGGUCGGACAUAAAGAAUCCUGUCUUCGGUCGAUUAGGGUGAAUUUAACUUUUGUGUGAAAAGGCAUAAAUGUUUUAGGGGGACGAUAAGACCCUAUAAAACUUGAUGAUUGAUUUGAGUCUUACGAGCUGGGGUUAAUGUGAGGUUCAAGCGAGUUAUUGUGCUGGGGCGGCAGGAAUAAAAUAUAGUAACUGUUCUUGUGUAUGUAAUAGUUUUAGCUAGAUGGUGACCCCGAAGUUUGGGUUGAAAGAUUAAGUUACUUUAGGGAUAACAGCGUUAUUUUCCUUGAGAGUUCAUAUCGACAGGGAUAUUUGCGACCUCGAUGUUGAAUUAAAGUUUUCCCUGGGGGCAGAGGUUCAGAGGGUAGGUCUGUUCGACCUUUAAAACUUUACAUGAUUUGAGUUCAAACCGGUGUGAGCCAGGUUGGUUUCUAUCUCUUGAUUUUUAGUAGGUUACCUUAGUACGAAAGGAUUAGGUAGUUAUAACAUUUAUUGUUCAAAGAGUGAAGUUAAUGGAUUACCUUGGCAGAGCAUGCAUUAGAUUUAGGAUCUAAAUAG